UGGGGAAUUUUGGACAAUGGGGGAAACCCUGAUCCAGCCAUCCCGCGUGUGCGAUGAAGGCCUUCGGGUUGUAAAGCACUUUUUGCAGGAAAGAAACGUCAUGGGUUAAUACCCCGUGAAACUGACGGUACCUGCAGAAUAAGCACCGGCUAACUACGUGCCAGCAGCCGCGGUAAUACGUAGGGUGCAAGCGCUAAUCGGAAUUACUGGGCGUAAAGCGUGCGCAGGCGGUUCGGAAAGAAAGAUGUGAAAUCCCAGAGCUCAACUUUGGAACUGCAUUUUUAACUACCGGGCUAGAGUGUGUCAGAGGAAGGUGGAAUUCCGCGUGUAGCAGUGAAAUGCGUAGAUAUGCGGAGGAACACCGAUGGCGAAGGCAGCCUCCUGGGAUAACACUGACGCUCAUGCACGAAAGCGUGGGGAGCAAACAGG
rnacentral:rRNA from 1 species